rnacentral:rRNA from 1 species
CACGUAGGGGGCGAGCGUUGUCCGGAUUUAUUGGGCGUAAAGAGCUCGUAGGCGGCUCAGUAAGUCAGGUGUGAAAACUCCAGGCUCAACCUGGAGACGCCACCUGAUACUGCUGUGGCUAGAGUCCGGUAGGGGAGCAUGGAAUUCCUGGUGUAGCGGUGAAAUGCGCAGAUAUCAGGAGGAACACCAGUGGCGAAGGCGGCUCUCUGGAACGCAACUGACGCUGAGACGCGAAAGCGUGGGGAGCAAACAGG